GCCUUCGUGGUGUAGUGGUCAGUACACUCGAUGCGUAUUCGAGAGAUCCGUGGUUCGAUUCCCGGCAAGGCG
rnacentral:tRNA from 1 species